rnacentral:lncRNA from 1 species
AAUUGAGCAUAGAGGUGUGAAGUGAAUCAUGGCUCCCUCUAACUUCCCUCUUCGUUGGGAGAGUACAGGAGACAAGUGGUGGUAUGCAUCUCCUAUUGAUUAUGCUGCUGCAAAUGGUCUAUAUGAUCUUGUCACUGAGCUUCUUCACCUUGACACCAACCUCCUCAUCAAGCUCACUUCCCUUCGAAGAAUCCGCCGCCUUGAAACCGUGUGGGACGAUGAGGCUCAGUUUGAAGAUGUUGCCAAGAACCGCUCCAAGGUUGCAAGGAGUCUUCUGAGAGAGUGUGAGACAGUAAGAGGGGACAACAAAUGGGUAUUUAGUGGGGACGUUCCUUUGUCUUUUCCACUGCAAUUUUUUUUUUUUUGUGAAUUUUUCCACUGUAAUAGUACUUGAUUCAUUAACACUACAUUGAUUUUCUAUUUGUCUCUAUUUUUUUCUAUUAUAUUUCUCAUCAUAAUUCAUAUCUUUCAUUUCUAUUUUUUCUUUUGCAAUCCCUCUUUUAGUGUAGCUUGAAUUGGAGUGUGAGAGCUUAUUUUUUGACAUGAAGAGAAUAUUAUAAGAUGUGGUUGAGAUAGAAAAAUGAAGAGAACAUAUAAGAUGUGUUUACUUUUAGGAUUAUUCUUUUUUCCUUCCUCUUUUUUCUAAAUCACACGCAUUUAAGAUCUGGUACGCCAAACGAAGAACGCCACAAAAGCUUAUUAUGGCUUCCAAAGUUCAGCAAAGGCAAAUAAUUUUUGGCCCGCAAGUUAUGCAAAUUAAUCAAUCAUGUAAGGAAAUUUGUGCCUUAAUCUAUGAACAAUAAAAUUUCAUGUCCACAAAAUUCUUUUUUAUCUUCAUGUGUCCGGCUAAAUGAGUGCUCCAUGUCAUGCCACACUUGACACAAACCUCGAAAUUUCCUCUACUGAAUGAAAUCAAACAAACAACCACAAUCAUAGUGGGGUCAAUGGAAUUACAACUUACCAUAAUCUAAUAAAAUAAAAUACUCUUAUUCUGUGAGCUCACGGACCAGAGAAUCUCAAUCUUUCUAAGCCUUCUUUUUAACUUAUUCUCCACUAUAGAUAACAAUUAACAAUUAUCCUCCAUCACAAAUCCAGCAUUAGGGACAUUUUCCUUUUGUCAUUUAACAUCCUGCACCAACUAUUUAUAGUAUAUGCCAACAUGUUGGUUCCUUGUAUACUUCACUGUUUACAAGGCUAAUUCUUAAUCUCACUUCCUAGAAUUUUCAUCCCAUUAUAGCUUUUCAACAACUUUCAAUCCAAGAGAAUAAACACUUACACAAAGAACUAAAGCAUAUCUUCACUUUACACUUUUAAGGGUGUCUGAAAAACCAGUUUUUUCUUCUGCUUGAAAGUGGAAAUUGAGCAUAGAGGUGUGAAGUGAAUCAUGGCUCCCUCUAACUUCCCUCUUCGUUGGGAGAGUACAGGAGACAAGUGGUGGUAUGCAUCUCCUAUUGAUUAUGCUGCUGCAAAUGGUCUAUAUGAUCUUGUCACUGAGCUUCUUCACCUUGACACCAACCUCCUCAUCAAGCUCACUUCCCUUCGAAGAAUCCGCCGCCUUGAAACCGUGUGGGACGAUGAGGCUCAGUUUGAAGAUGUUGCCAAGAACCGCUCCAAGGUUGCAAGGAGUCUUCUGAGAGAGUGUGAGACAGUAAG